rnacentral:lncRNA from 1 species
CAGCAAAAUCCUUAGAGAAAAAGCUGAAGUCCUCUGGAGUUCCAUAUGAGGUUCAUACCUAUCCUGGAUGUGCUCAUGCCUUUAUGAACACAUCGCCUGAUGGCAUCAAGAGGAGGAAGGGAAUGGGAAUGGACGAUGAGAACCCUGCAGCUGUAGAUUUGGCUUGGUCUCGCUUCCGUGCUUGGAUGGGUGCUUACUUGCUGUCUCCUUGAGUCUUUCUUCCAGGACUUGUUGACCCAGUCAAAAGUCAAAGCUGCUUAAUAAUUUUGACAUUGUGACUCAGUGUUGUUUGUGGUAUCCUUGUGGCUGCUCUGUGAAUUCCACUGGUCGUGGGGAGGACGCUGCCGAGGCACAGCACCUGAUGGAAGGUCUGGACUGGCAGGGUGCUGUUAAGGACAUACGUGCUUCAGUUAAUUGGCUUAAGGCACAUGGUUCAUCGAAGGUUGGUGUAACUGGAUUUUGUAUGGGGGGUGCUUUAUCCAUUGCAAGUGCAGUUCUGGUCCCUGAAGUUGAUGCUGUUGUUGCCUUCUAUGGAGUUCCUUCAUCAGAACUUGCUGAUCCAUCUCAGGCAAAGGCUCCUGUGCAGGCUCACUUUGGGGAGCUUGAUAACUAUGUUGGAUUUUCUGACAGUCGUGAACUUGGUCAUGCAUCAAGUAUCUGUCUGAAGUAUGACCCUUGUAAUUAUGUGAAUGCCCCUAUGUGAAUGUACUGCAGAUAAAUACUUAAUUUGCAAGUUUUGGAGUGUGAUGUUGCAAUGAAAAUGAUCCAGGUGUUUGU